rnacentral:rRNA from 1 species
CGGCGAGUGAAGCGGGAAGAGCUCAAAUUUCGAAAUCUUAAAGGGUUUCCCUUUACGAAUUGUAGUUUAAAGAAGUGUUUUCUGUUGAGGUUUUGGUAAAAGUUCUUUGGAAUAGGACAUCAUAGAGGGUGAGAAUCCCGUAUUUGACCUUUACUUUCAACUUUGUGAUACACUUUCAAAGAGUCGGAUUGUUUGGGAAUGCAGUCCAAAAUGGGUGGUAAAUUUCAUCUAAAGCUAAAUAUUGGCGAGAGACCGAUAGCGAACAAGUACCGUGAGGGAAAGAUGAAAAGAACUUUGAAAAGAGAGUUAAACAGUACGUGAAAUUGUCAAAAGGGAAGCGUUUGACACCAGUGUUGUUUUUCUGAAAAUCAAUUAAAGAACUGUUUAUGCUAAGUUGUUUAGACUUUAUCAGCUAACUGUUUAGUUUUGAGCUUUUCUUUAAUGCACUUUUCAGUUAACAAGUCAACAUCAAUUUCUUUUGCUGUAAAAAAGCUUGAGGAAGGUGGCUUGAGAUUCGUCUUAAGUGUUUAUAGCCUCUUGCCUAUGCAGUCGGAGAGAUUGAGGUCUGCAGCGUAGAUCCUUCGGGGCUAAAUGCAUUUGUGCUAAGUUAUAGCAUUUUAUAGACAACUUGUUGACUAUGAUUUGUCUUGUAGCUUACUCGCUUAUGUUAUUUUACCUACGCUUAGGAUGUUGACAAAAUGGUUUUAAACGACCCGUCU